ensembl:lncRNA
GAUCCUUCCUCUUGGAGCCCUUCUGUGAGCCCAGGACAUAGGGACAAGUGAAUAGAAACUUAUGAACAAGGAGAAAAUGGUUCAAUUCUUGCUUUCCUCAGGUCACCAAAUUAUGUAGGAUGCAGGCAACAGUUUCAUUUCUCAUCAUUUGAUGCUUGUUUUGGAUUAUACAUUCUUUGGAGUGUUCUUCAAAAGAUGAUGCUCACAGAACAUAGAGGUUUUUUGUAAAAUAAUGCUUUCAAAAUAUGUGUAGAUUCUGGUAGUCUAAAUCUCUCUGAAUUAACUGUGAAUUUUGUGUUAAGUAGAAGAAUCUGACACCUCUAACACAUUGCUGAUCUUUUUGCUUUACUGUGAUUGGGUAAAAUAAAUUACUCUCAUUCUCUUAAAGUCAUCUUUGGCUAGUAUUUCACAUUCUAGAAAAACAUACUGGAAAAAAAUUGAACUUGGGCUGACAAACACUUUGACAGGAAUAUAACUUGAUAGACCUGGAAUCGGUAACGUUGCUUCUCCGAUCUGCUAUGAAGAAAAGAUAUUGAUUGUGAGGUAGGCAAGGGUACCAGGGACCUCUGAAUGGUCAAGUGAUGUGAGCAGUUUUUCAAGAGAGACAGG